rnacentral:rRNA from 1 species
GAUGAACGCUGGCGGCGUGCCUAAUACAUGCAAGUCGAGCGAACGGACGAGAAGCUUGCUUUUCUGAUGUUAGCGGCGGACGGGUGAGUAACACGUGGAUAACCUACCUAUAAGACUGGGAUAACUUCGGGAAACCGGAGCUAAUACCGGAUAAUAUUUUGAACCGCAUGGUUCAAAAGUGAAAGACGGUCUUGCUGUCACUUAUAGAUGGAUCCGCGCUGCAUUAGCUAGUUGGUAAGGUAACGGCUUACCAAGGCAACGAUGCAUAGCCGACCUGAGAGGGUGAUCGGCCACACGGGAACCGAGACACGGUCCAGACUCCUGCGGGAGGCAGCAGUAGGGAAUCUUCCGCAAUGGGCGAAAGCCUGACGGAGCAACGCCGCGUGAGUGAUGAAGGUCUUCGGAUCGUAAAACUCUGUUAUUAGGGAAGAACAUAUGUGUAAGUAACUGUGCACAUCUUGACGGUACCUAAUCAGAAAGCCACGGCUAACUACGUG